UGGGGAAUUUUGGACAAUGGGGGAAACCCUGAUCCAGCCAUCCCGCGUGUGCGAUGAAGGCCUUCGGGUUGUAAAGCACUUUUGGCAGGAAAGAAACGUCAUGGGUUAAUACCCCGUGAAACUGACGGUACCUGCAGAAUAAGCACCGGCUAACUACGUGCCAGCAGCCGCGGUAAUACGUAGGGUGCAAGCGUUAAUCGGAAUUACUGGGCGUAAAGCGUGCGCAGGCGGUUCGGAAAGAAAGAUGUGAAAUCCCAGAGCUCAACUUUGGAACUGCAUUUUUAACUACCGGGCUAGAGUGUGGCAGAGGGAGGUGGAAUUCCGCGUGUAGCAGUGAAAUGCGUAGAUAUGCGGAGGAACACCGAUGGCGAAGGCAGCCUCCUGGGAUAACACUGACGCUCAGGCACGAAAGCGUGGGGAGCAAACAGG
rnacentral:rRNA from 1 species